rnacentral:rRNA from 1 species
GUUGGUGGUUUGGCGAAGGGGGUACACCCGUUCUCAUUCCGAACACGGCAGUUAAGCCCUUCUGCGCCGAUGGUAGUCGAAAGGCGAGAGUAGGUCGCCGCCAACA